UACGGGGGGGGCAAGCGUUGUUCGGAAUUACUGGGCGGAAAGGGCGCGUAGGCGGCCUACUAAGUCGGACGUGAAAUCCCUCAGCUUAACUGGGGAACUGCGUCUGAUACUGGAUGGCUUGGAUCCGGGAGAGGGAUGCGGAAUUCCAGGUGUAGCGGUGAAAUGCGUAGAUAUCUGGAGGAACACCGGUGGCGAAGGCGGCAUCCUGGACCGGUAUUGACGCUGAGGAGCGAAAGCCAGGGGAGCAAACGGG
rnacentral:rRNA from 1 species